rnacentral:rRNA from 1 species
GGAGUUAGCCGGUGCUUCUUCUGCGAGUAACGUCACAGAUGUAAGGUAUUAACUUACACCCUUUCCUCCUCGCUGAAAGUGCUUUACAACCCGAAGGCCUUCUUCACACACGCGGCAUGGCUGCAUCAGGGUUUCCCCCAUUGUGCAAUAUUCCCCACUGCUGCCUCCCGUAGGAGUCUGGGCCGUGUCUCAGUCCCAGUGUGGCUGAUCAUCCUCUCAGACCAGCUAGGGAUCGUCGCCUAGGUGAGCCUUUACCUCACCUACUAGCUAAUCCCACCUGGGCUUAUCCAUCAGCGCAAGGCCCGAAGGUCCCCUGCUUUCCCCCGGUAGGGCGUAUGCGGUAUUAGCAGUCGUUUCCAACUGUUAUCCCCCACAAAUGGGCAAAUUCCCAGGCAUUACUCACCCGUCCGCCGCUCGUCAUCUUCAAAAGCAAGCUUUUGAAAUGUUAACCGCUCGACUUGCAUGUGUUAGGCCUGCCGCCAGCGUUCAAUCUGAGCCAUGAUCAAACUCUGA